UGGGUUCUUGGUGGAAAACAACUUUU
rnacentral:piRNA from 1 species